rnacentral:rRNA from 1 species
GAUGAACGCUGGCGGCGUGCCUAAUACAUGCAAGUCGAGCGAACGGACGAGAAGCUUGCUUCUCUGAUGUUAGCGGCGGACGGGUGAGUAACACGUGGAUAACCUACCUAUAAGACUGGGAUAACUUCGGGAAACCGUAGCUAAUACCGGAUAAUAUUUUGAACCGCAUGGUUCAAAAGUGAAAGACGGUCUUGCUGUCACUUAUAGAUGGAUCCGCGCUGCAUUAGCUAGUUGGUAAGGUAACGGCUUACCAAGGCAACGAUGCAUAGCCGACCUGAGGGGGGGUAGGCGCCCUGAGAAAGUGAGCGGCGGCACAGGGUCUGAGGGAAGGCACAAGCUGGUAAGGGUCGCAACAGGGGGGAAGACUGCCGGAUGAGCGGCAGGCUGAUGAAGAAGCGCCGCGGGCGGUAAAACUCUGUUAUGGGGGAAAAACGCUUUUGCAAGUAACGGAGCGCGAGUGACGGUAACCGAUAAAGAAGCCCCGGCUAACUACGUG